GAUGAACGCUGGCGGCGUGCCUAAUACAUGCAAGUCGAGCGAACAGACGAGGAGCUUGCUCCUCUGACGUUAGCGGCGGACGGGUGAGUAACACGUGGAUAACCUACCUAUAAGACUGGGAUAACUUCGGGAAACCGGAGCUAAUACCGGAUAAUAUAUUGAACCGCAUGGUUCCAUAGUGAAAGACGGUUUUGCUGUCACUUAUAGAUGGAUCCGCGCCGCUUUAGCUAGUUGGUAAGGUAACGGCUUACCAAGGCAACGAUGCGUAGCCGACCUGAGAGGGUGAGCGGCCACAGUGGAAGUGAGAGACGGUGCAGACUCCUACGGGAGGCAGCAGUAGGGAGUCGGACGCAAGGGGCGAAAGCUGGACGGUGCAACGCAGCGGGAGUGAUGAAGGGCGACGGAUCGGAAAACUCUGUUAUUAGGGAAGAACAAAUGUGGAAGUAACUAUGCACGUCUUGGCGGUACCUAAUCAGAAAGCCACGACGAACUACGUG
rnacentral:rRNA from 1 species